ACGAGGCCUACCCAGGAGGCCACAGACACAAACGCAUUACCGUUUUGUAUUUCAGAGUAGACAACUUCAUUGGAGCUCACUGGAAAUUGGGCAAGGUGCCCCAUGGCAACAGGCAGAAAGCAUGAACAUGACAGGGUCUGGAGAACAAGUAUGUAGUUUGCUUUCUGGGUUAACAGUAGGGUAACAGGUUGAUAUGGCUCAGCCUUCAUCUCUCUUUGAAGUAAUUAACAUUUUCAUAAUAAUCUGUUUGGAACAGGCACUCAUUAUAACCAAUGAGAUGCAGAAGCCCAGAAGGGGAUCCUACAGGAAAGAGCAUUUUUGAAGGCCCUCUGUGCUAUUUCUGAAAGCAGAAGAUGUCUUCCUUGCUGAACACCUCUUGCCUGGACACGCUCAUCUGUCACUGCAUCCCUUGAAAGCAGUAAUGUCAUCACCCUAACCAUGGAACUGCUUCAAAAGACCCGGGGAGUGCAUGCAAGGGUGAAGUGCCCAGAGAAUAGCCUGGAGUAAGAACAGAAACUGAAAGAGAUGAUGACCUACUGCAUGGAUGUCUGCAUCACAGGGACUGCGCUGCCACGUAGAAACCAGGUACCUGAUGCUCCUCUUCCUCCUUCCAGCCCCAGCAGGACCCUGAGCAGCAGUUCACAGAGGGCAAGAGAAAAUGAACCCCAAGUGGUAUUCCCUGUAGGUUUAGGGCCACAGAAUCAGCAGCGGGUGUCAGCAGAGGCAGGACAUAAGGGGGCUGUGCAGCCAUGCAUUCUGGCCAGGAGGAGCAGGGCCAGCUGUGGGGCUGCAGGAUGGGC